rnacentral:lncRNA from 10 species
AGACAGCAGACCUUGUGCAAUGCACUCUCCCACGGGCCUCCCAUUCCAAUUUCCCCUUUUUAAGCCUUUCUCCCCAGCCUAAAGUUUUAAGAGGUUUCUGGAGGCGUAAGGAUUCUAUUUAUGUUUAAUGAACAAAAAAAUUAGUUUCAAUGAAAACUUUAUUUGAAAUGAUGAAUUCAAGCUGUUACCAGCCUCCCAAGUAAGAUGCCAGAGACUUCAAACACUGCUGUUGUUUCUCAAGGAAAAGAUCCAGUUAACAAGGAAUCAUUCUCUCUUCUUCAAUAGCUGCUUACGAAAUAAAAACAUCAGUAGGAGGGGAAGGAGGAAGGAAGGAGAAGAAAGAGGAAGAAUAGGAGGAGAAGAGGAAGAGAGGAAGAAGUCGUGAACAGCCCUCCUGCAUUUUGCAUCAGGUAGAAAAGUCAGUUGAAUGUUGGGAAGAACACAAAUAAGUCUCUCUCUAUUGCCAGGUUGG